rnacentral:rRNA from 1 species
UACAGGGGGGGCAAGUGUUGUUCGGAAUUACUGGGCGUAAAGGGUCUGUAGGUGGCUUGCUAAGUCAGACGUGAAAUCCCUCAGCUUAACUGGGGAACUGCGUCUGAUACUGGCAAGCUUGAGUGCAGGAGAGGAACGCGGAAUUCCAGGUGUAGCGGUGAAAUGCGUAGAUAUCUGGAGGAACACCGGUGGCGAAGGCGGCGUUCUGGACUGCAACUGACACUGAGAGACGAAAGCCAGGGGAGCAAACGGG